rnacentral:ncRNA from 1 species
GAGAGCACAGUACGAUGAAAGUUGUAAGCUGUGUUCGGGGGGGGGGGGGGGGGUAUUGUCUAUCGUUGGCCUCUAUGGUAGAAUCAGUCGGGGGACCAGAGAGGCGGUGGUUUACCCUGU